rnacentral:rRNA from 1 species
AUUGAACGCUGGCGGCAGGCCUAACACAUGCAAGUCGAACGAGUGGCGGACGGGUGAGUAAUGUCUGGGACACUGCCUGAUGGAGGGGGCUAACUACUGGAAACGGUAGCUAAUACUGCAUAACAUAGGAUGUGCCCAGAUGGGAUUAGCUAGUGGGUGGGGUAACGGCUGACCUAGGCGACGAUCCCUAGCUGGGUUGAGAGGAUGACCAGCCACACUGGGACUGAGACACGGUCCAGACUCCUACGGGAGGCAGCAGUGGGGAAUAUUGGACAAUGGGGGCAAUCCUGAUGCAGCCAUGCCGCGUGUAUGAAGAAGGCCUUCGGGUUGUAAAGUACUUUCGGCGGGGAGGCGUUACCCGCAGAAGAAGCACCGGCUAACUCCGUGCCAGCAGCCGCGGUAAUAC